ensembl:lncRNA
GGAGAAGGCAAUGGCACCCCACUCCAGUACUCUUGCCUGGAAAAUCCCAUGGGUGGAGGAGCCUGGUAGGCUGCAGUCAGUCCAUGGGGUCGCUAAGAGUCGAACACGACUGAGCGACUUCCCUUUCACUCUUCACUUUCAUGCAUUGGAGAAGGAAAUGGCAACCCACUCCAGUAUUCUUUUCUGGAGAAUCCCAGUGACGAGGGAGCCUGAUGGGCUGCCCUCUAUGGGGUCGCACAGAGUCGGGCACGACUGACUGAGCAGCAGUAGCAGCAGAAGUUGACGAUUUGAUCUCUGGUUCCUCUGGCUUUGCUAAAUCCAGCUUGAACAUCUGGAAGCUCACAGUUCACAUACUGUUGAAGCCUGGCUUGGAGAAUUUUGAGCAUUACUUUGCUAAUGUGUGAGAUGUGUGCAAUUGUGUGGUAGUUUGAGCAUUCUUUGGCAUUGCCUUUCUUUGGGAUUGGAAGGAAAUCUGACCUCUUCUAGUCCUGUGGCCACUGCUGAGGUUUCCAAAUUUGCUAGCAUAUUGGGAACAGCACUUUCAGAGCAUCAUCAUUUAGGAUUUCAAACAGCUCAGUUGGAAUUCCAUCACCUCCAUUAGCUUUGUUUGUAGCAAUGCUUCCUAAGGCCCACUUGACUUCGCAUUCCAGGAUGUCUGGCUCUAGGUGGAUGCUGAUAGAAGCCCUAAUUAUGAUUGAAACCAGCAACACAGCCAAAGCCUUCAUCAUGGGCAGGAGGUACCUCAUGUGGCUCAUAACUUCACCUUGUUGGGAUAUCUGUAUCCUAAGGAAGAGCGUAGCUUCAGCCUGAAAAGCCCAGGUCUAGAAGUCAAUCACUUUGACUGUAACAUUAAUGAUGGAUAAAGUCUCCUAAUCCAAAGCUUCGGGGAAGAAAAUUUCGAGGAUGUCACUGCUAAGAAUAAAUGUCACAGAGAAGGCUGUCUCCUGCAGGAACAGAGCCUGAGACAAGAAUUUAAUGCCGACAGUGCAAAGUGAGGAAGGAAUGGGUAGCGUGGAGGGAAGAAAUGCAACCUUAAGGACCCACUGAACUCCUGACAAAAUACACCUUUACUUUUCUUUCCCUUUACCUAAGUUUCUAUUUUUCUAAGGUUUCCUUGAGUCUCCUUUGAGCAUUUUCUGAGGCACUUCACAUCUUACAACUAUAAAAACAAUACAGA